GAGUACGUGAAACCGUUCAGGGGUAAACCUGAGAAACCCGAAAGAUCGAAUGGGGAGAUUCAUCGUCAGCGAUUUUGGUACGUGUGCGGUUCGGGAUGCCGGUGACUUCGGUCACUCGACACUCGUCUGCAUGUUUAUUAUUGCCUGAAUCGUCGGCGUGCACUUCUCCCCUAGUAGGACGUCGCGACCCGUUGGGUGUCGGUCUACGGCUCGGAUGGUAGCCUGUCUCGCGUGCGUCUCACGGCGUUUCGCGGGUCAGACCUUCGAUCGCCCGACCGGCUGCUCGGCGGUACUCGCACGGUAUCUGGCCGCAAAUAUUUGAACUGCGUCCGGCCCGUCGCAAGCGAGGCAAGUGUUCCCGGCUGUACGGAUUUAAUGCCGUCGCCGGGCCUUGACAGCUGUUGGUUGACGGUGUCCUGGGACUGGCCAACAAAAUUAUGAUACCGGUCGGCGACGCUACUGCUUUGGGUACUUUCAGGACCCGUCUUGAAACACGGACCAAGGAGUCUAACAUGUGCGCGAGUCAUUGGGAACUAUUAAACCUAAAGGCGCAAUGAAAGUGAAGGUCGGCCUUGCGCCGACCGAGGGAGGAUGGGCCGCGUCACGAUGCGGUCUCGCACUCCCGGGGCGUCUCGUUCUCAUUGCGAGAAGAGGCGCACCCAGAGCGUACACGUUGGGACCCGAAAGAUGGUGAACUAUGCCUGGUCAGGACGAAGUCAGGGGAAACCCUGAUGGAGGUCCGUAGCGAUUCUGACGUGCAAAUCGAUCGUCGGAACUGGGUAUAGGGGCGAAAGACUAAUCGAACC
rnacentral:rRNA from 1 species